UACGAAGGGGGCUAGCGUUGUUCGGAAUCACUGGGCGUAAAGCGCGCGCAGGCGGCCACUUAAGUCCGCUGGUGAAAGACCGGGGCUCAACCCCGUGUCAGCCAGGGAUACUGGGUGGCUGGAGACAGGUAGAGGCAAGCGGAAUUCCGGGUGUAGCGGUGGAAUGCGUAGAGAUCCGGAAGAACACCGGAGGCGAAGGCGGCUUGCUGGACCUGGUCUGACGCUGAGGCGCGAAAGCGUGGGGAGCGAACAGG
rnacentral:rRNA from 1 species